rnacentral:rRNA from 1 species
GACGAACGCUGGCGGCGUGCUUAACACAUGCAAGUCGAACGGUGAAGCGCCUUCCUUUUUGGUGGGUGUGGAUGAGUGGCGAACGGGUGAGUAACACGUGAGUAACCUGCCCCCUUCUUCUGGAUAACCGCAUGAAAGUGUGGCUAAUACGGGAUAUUCUGGGUCUGUCGCAUGAUGGGUCUGGGAAAGAUAUUGUUUCGGUGGGGGAUGGGCUCGCGGCCUAUCAGCUUGUUGGUGGGGUGAUGGCCUACCAAGGCGGUGACGGGUAGCCGGCCUGAGAGGGUGGACGGUCACACUGGGACUGAGACACGGACCAGACUCCUACGGGAGGCAGCAGUGGGGAAUAUUGCACAAUGGGCGCAAGCAUGAUGCAGCGACGCCGCGGGAGGGAUGGAGGCCUUCGGGUUGUGAACCUCUUUCGCCAGUGAAGCAGGCCUGCCUCGUUUGUGGGUGGGUUGACGGUAGCUGGAUAAGAAGCGCCGGCUAACUACGUG